rnacentral:lncRNA from 1 species
CCCCUCGGAAAUUUUCGAUUUUUCUCAAGCCCUUCGGAAAUACUUGUUGACGAGGUUCCAUCACGGAAGACCCCUUCGGAAAUUUUGAAAUUUUUCAUCCCCCUUCGGAAAUUUUGUAUAAUUUUCUUACCCCUCAGAAACAGACCCUGUUGACGAGGUUGCUGAUUUUUUACCCCUUCGGAAAUUUUCAAAUUUUUACAACCCUUUGGAAAUUUUGUAUAAUUUUCUUACCCCCUCAGAAACACUCCCUGUUGACGAGGUUCCUG